rnacentral:rRNA from 1 species
UUGAACGCUGGCGGCAUGCUUUACACAUGCAAGUCGAACGGCAGCGGGGGCUUCGGCCUGCCGGCGAGUGGCGAACGGGUGAGUAAUGCAUCGGAACGUACCCAGUCGUGGGGGAUAACUACGCGAAAGCGUGGCUAAUACCGCAUACGCCCUGAGGGGGAAAGCGGGGGACCUUCGGGCCUCGCGCGAUUGGAGCGGCUGAUGUCGGAUUAGCUGGUUGGUGGGGUAAAGGCCUACCAAGGCGACGAUCCGUAGCGGGUCUGAGAGGAUGAUCCGCCACACUGGGACUGAGACACGGCCCAGACUCCUACGGGAGGCAGCAGGGGGGAAUUUUGGACAAUGGGCGCAAGCCUGAUCCAGCCAUUCCGCGUGCAGGAUGAAGGCCUUCGGGUUGUAAACUGCUUUUGUACGGAACGAAAAGGCUCUGGUGAAUACCUGGGGCUCAUGACGGUACCGUAAGAAUAAGCACCGGCUAACUACGU